AUGAGGCGGCCUCACUCCUUUCAAGUCCUGACCGCCACCAAGGAUGACAUGAACACUUUGUGCCCAAGCACUGACUGGUCCUGGAAAAGCAUGCCGGCACCCUUCGCUAAGGAUGAAAAGAUCGAAUCCUACGCCCUUCACCCGGACGGACACACCAUAUUUGUGUCUUCGUACAUCAACGACAUCAACCGUGGCACCUUCUCCUUUGACACCAAGACCCGUGAGUGGAGGCGCCAUGGGGAAUGGAUGUUCCCUUUCGUGCUUGAAGGCUACUUCGACGCCGACCUAGAUGCAUGGGUUGGGCUACACCCUGAUGGCUACAUCUGCUCCUGCCAAGUUCCCUCCCUCAGCAAUAGCAGCAGCACAUUGCAGCAGCCCAACUGGAAGAUGGCCAAGGAGCACAGGAUGUGGAACCCAUACCAUCAGUUGGCUAGAGGGCGAGGGCCUACUCUCACCUACAUGGGCAACUCCAGAUUUUUCCUUGUUGAUUGUGUGGCGGCCGAUGGUUUAGAGUUCCAGGAUGCUUUUGGUGACUCUCGUGGCUGCGUGCUCAACAUGACCACGUUUCAUCUCAGGUACGAUAGUGAGGGAAAUCUGCGAAUCAAAGACAGGAACACUACCUCUUGUCGUGUGUCUAAGCAACUCUCGACGUUCUCCCCUGUGGCGUUCUGGAUGUAG
rnacentral:rRNA from 1 species